rnacentral:rRNA from 1 species
GAAUAUUGGACAAUGGGGGCAACCCUGAUCCAGCCAUGCCGCGUGUGUGAAGAAGGCCUUCGGGUUGUAAAGCACUUUAAGUGGGGAGGAAGGGGUGAAAGCUAAUAUCUUUCAUCAUUGACGCUACCCACAGAAUAAGCACCGGCUAACUCUGUGCCAGCAGCCGCGGUAAUACAGAGGGUGCAAGCGUUAAUCGGAAUUACUGGGCGUAAAGCGCGCGUAGGCGGUUAUUUAAGUCGGGUGUGAAAGCCCCGGGCUCAACCUGGGAAUUGCAUCCGAUACUGAGUGACUAGAGUAUGAGAGAGGGAGGUAGAAUUCCACGUGUAGCGGUGAAAUGCGUAGAUAUGUGGAGGAAUACCGGUGGCGAAGGCGGCCUCCUGGCUUAAUACUGACGCUGAGGUGCGAAAGCGUGGGGAUCAAACAG